rnacentral:rRNA from 1 species
UACGUAGGGUGCGAGCGUUGUCCGGAAUUAUUGGGCGUAAAGAGCUCGUAGGCGGUGUGUCGCGUCGGCCGUGAAAACCUGGGGCUUAACUCUGGGCGUGCGGUCGAUACGGGCAUCACUAGAGUUCGGCAGGGGAGACUGGAAUUCCUGGUGUAGCGGUGAAAUGCGCAGAUAUCAGGAGGAACACCGAUGGCGAAGGCAGGUCUCUGGGCCACUACUGACGCUGAGAAGCGAAAGCAUGGGGAGCGAACAGG